rnacentral:lncRNA from 1 species
UCUUGACGACUGGUCUGGAAGCUAAUGAGGAGUGCACUUGACCUUUGCUGACGCCGCAAUUAGAGAUUACCGGUGAAUGCUGGGGAAGCAGAGAAAGCUCUUUUUGGCUUCCUCUKCCCGGCGUGUUUGAAAAGCUUUCUUCCUGAUCUCUCACGGUGGAAAUGAGAGAAGGGCAGGCUCUACACCCUCCUGACCUCCUCCUCUCGCAAGGCAGCACGUUCAUUAUGGGAAAAAGAAGGGAGGGAAGUGGAGAGGGAG